GAGAGCCGUAAUGCUGUGAAAGCAGCACGUUCGGUUCGGAGAGGAAAUUGGUUAGACGACUCUAUAAACGAGCACCGCGAACUGAUUUUACUCUAC
rnacentral:ncRNA from 1 species